GACGAACGCUGGCGGCGUGCUUAACACAUGCAAGUCGAACGAAGAGCGAUGGAAGCUUGCUUCUAUCAAUCUUAGUGGCGAACGGGUGAGUAACGCGUAAUCAACCUGCCCUUCAGAGGGGGACAACAGUUGGAAACGACUGCUAAUACCGCAUACGAUCUAGUCUCGGCAUCGAGGAUAGAUGAAAGGUGGCCUCUACAUGUAAGCUAUCACUGAAGGAGGGGAUUGCGUCUGAUUAGCUAGUUGGAGGGGUAACGGCCCACCAAGGCGAUGAUCAGUAGCCGGUCUGAGAGGAUGAACGGCCACAUUGGGACUGAGACACGGCCCAGACUCCUACGGGAGGCAGCAGUGGGGAAUCUUCCGCAAUGGACGAAAGUCUGACGGAGCAACGCCGCGUGAGUGAUGACGGCCUUCGGGUUGUAAAGCUCUGUUAAUCGGGACGAAAGGCCUUCUUGCGAAUAGUGAGAAGGAUUGACGGUACCGGAAUAGAAAGCCACGGCUAACUACGUG
rnacentral:rRNA from 1 species